AUGUUUAUGACACAAUUGAGAACCAAUACGAAGCUCGGGCUUGGGUCUCCGCAGCAGAGCAAGGAGUCCCAACAAAUGUUGUCAAGGAGAUACUCCAGCAACUUGGCAUCCCCGCAAAUGGCGGAGGAAACCUUGGGAGCAGGAGGUAAUUAUUUUAAGCUACCUGUUCCCAAACUAUAUUGGUUCUUCAUUGUAAUCGAUGACAUGCGGACAGAGUUUUGGCAUGACAUAAAAGAUACGUUUGUGGGGUUGAGCGGCAGAGUUCUGGUGACAACAGCCAUCCAUUCAGUAGCAAAUACCUGCAGCAGCUCAGCAGCUCAUGAUCAUGUGUACGCAAUGAAAACUCUUGCCAAUGAACACUCAAGACCGCUAUUCUUCAAGGAAGCUUUCGAAGAUGACAAUCCACCAGUUGAUAAAGAGGAUCAGCUUGGCUCGGAGGCACUGAAGAAGUGUGAUGGUUUACCCCUUGCUCUUGUUACCACAGCCCGGUACUUGCAAAGCACAGGUAAUCCGACACAUGGAAACUGGGCAACAUUAUGCCACAACCUGGGAGCACAUCUGGAAACAAAAGAGAUGUUAGCAAGAAUGAAGUGUGUGUACACUAGCCUUGUUAAACAUGAUGUCAAGACGUGCUUGCUAUAUCUUGGUAUCUACCCUAGUGGUCGUACAGUUAGGAGAGGAAGCUUGAUAAGGAAAUGGUGCGCUGAAGGGUUUAUCCAAGGAGAUUAUAUGUGUAAUGCUCUGGAUGCUGCUAUCAGCAAUUUCAAAGAGCUUGUCAACCGGAGCAUCAUUCAGCGUACUGAUGCCAGCAGCAAAAACAACGAAGAUCGGGUGAAGACAUACCAUACUCACGGCAUGAUGCUUGAGUUCAUCCUGCACAUUUCCAAGUGUGACAACUUCAUUACUUUGUUAUAUGAUCAGCUAACUCCCUCACACCCACCAAAUAAAGUUCGUUGGCUCUCCCUCCAUAAUGCAAGUGCCAAAGUAGCCAAUGAUCUAUCUCUGGUCCGGUCUCUGACCGUCUUUGGCAAGGCGCAUGAAUCAGUCUUGAAUUUUUGCAAAUAUGAACUGCUUCGGGUCUUGGAUCUAGAAGAAUGCAGUAACCACUUGGAGGACAAGCACCUUAGGGAGAUAUGCAGCAACCUGUUGCUGCUCAGGUACCUAAGCCUUGGGGCAGCUGUUAAGGUUACAGCGCUCCCCAAAGAGAGCAAGAAACUUCAACUUUUGGAGACGCUGGAUGUCAGAAAAACCAAGAUAGAGAUUCUGCCCACACAAGUCAUGGAGCUUCCAUGCUUGAUUCAUCUAUUUGGAAAAUUCAAGCUCCAAGAAGGUGUAGGAACCCGGAAAAUGCAUAAGCUACAAACCUGGUUCUCAGAGAAUAGCAAAUUGGAAACAGUGGCAGGAUUUGUUGUGGACAACAACAAGAUCCAAGGAUUUGCACGGCUCAUGGAGCAUAUGAAGCACUUGACGAAGGUGAAAAUAUGGUGCGAGCAGUCCACUAAUAAUAGCACGGAUCCCACUGCCAGUGACAGCAACAGCAGCACCAACAAUUACACUCAUGUCUCAAAUGCCAUCAAGGGAUUUAUCAAGAGAAGCACGGACGUGAAAAAGGCUCAUUCACUCUCAAUACAUUUCAAUGAUAAAUGGUUCCAAGAUUUGCUCGUGAACUUGUCCCUAGAAAAAGAAGAAGCUUCCUCCUGCUAUCUUAGCUCGCUCAAGCUACAAGGGGGCAACAUAUGCAGCCUGCCUCCAUUUCUUACCAUGCUAGGUGGUCUCACUAAGCUGUGCCUUUCAUCCCCUCAUCAUCAUCUGAGCGGGGAUAUUCUUGCUGCCCUGAGCAGAGUGCGCAGCUUGGCGUACCUAAAGCUGAUUUCAUCUCAACUGGACAAACUCGCCAUCAUAAAAGGUGCACUUGGAAGCCUGCGAGGACUAUGUAUCGUGGUUGAAGUCAUUACUGAACUGGAAGUCCAAGAGGGAGCUCUGCCAUCCCUCGAGUCGCUCGAGCUGCUAUGUAAGGAUCUAAAUGGCUUUUGCUGCACGACGAUCCAGUCCCUGCAGCGUAUUAAGGAGGUCACCCUCCAUGACGGAGUGAAUUAUGAAACAAAACAAAAGUGGAAAGAAGCAGCUAAAAACAAAAGGGAAACGAGCGCUCGCAGGCGGCAGACACGUGGGCGUCGGGGAUUGGUGCGGGGCGGCAAUCACGCGAUCGCCAGCCGCUGGCUGGCGCGGGCCAGGUGCGGGACCGGAUCCUGUCGCUCGGUCGGGCGCACCUGA
rnacentral:rRNA from 1 species